GAUGAACGCUGGCGGCGUGCCUAAUACAUGCAAGUCGAGCGAACAGAUGAGGAGCUUGCUCCUCUGACGUUAGCGGCGGACGGGUGAGUAACACGUGGAUAACCUACCUAUAAGACUGGGAUAACUUCGGGAAACCGGAGCUAAUACCGGAUAAUAUAUUGCACCGCAUGGUUCAAUAGUGAAAGACGGUUUUGCUGUCACUUAUAGAUGGAUCCGCGCCGCAUUAGCUAGUUGGUAAGGUAACGGCUUACCAAGGCGACGAUGCGUAGCCGACCUGAGAGGGUGAUCGGCCACACUGGAACUGAGACACGGUCCAGACUCCUACGGGAGGCAGCAGUAGGGAAUCUUCCGCAAUGGGCGAAAGCCUGACGGAGCAACGCCGCGUGAGUGAUGAAGGUCUUCGGAUCGUAAAACUCUGUUAUUAGGGAAGAACAAAUGUGUAAGUAACUAUGCACGUCUUGACGGUACCUAAUCAGAAAGCCACGGCUAACUACGUG
rnacentral:rRNA from 1 species